CCUCCGUUGGCCUUGAAGUGGCCAGCGGUAAUUCGCGUAUUGUAAUUUUAACACGCGCUGGAUCAAAUCCUUUGCAGACGACUUAGAUGUGCGAAAGGGUCCUGUAAGCAGUAGAGUAGCCUUGUUGUUACGAUCUGCUGAGGGUAAGCCCUCCUUCGCCUAGAUUUCC
rnacentral:ncRNA from 1 species